AAGUAUUCAAACCUUGAACAAAGGGUUAAGCUUGCUCUGGAUGGAUCUUGAGAAUUUCAACUUAAGCAUAUCUGACUCGACUUCAAAUCCCGUCUUCAAUACUACAAAUAUAGCCAACUGUUCCGGACCACCAUUUGGGGGUGCAGUACUGACUGCAGCAGUUUCCAGGUCACUUUCAUCAGCCCCAUCACAAACACGUUCAAUUUCAAUUGAGCUUGUCUGUAUGCAAAGAAGAAACUAUUCAUGUAAUUUCCAUCUCAACUUCAAACACACUCAACCAUAAAUGGAAGAUCUUAUACGAAAGAUCCUCUGCGGCGCCUCUACCUGCCUCACCUCAUCCACAAGGGCUCGAUCCUUCAUAUGGGUUCGACCCCAGCACAUGGGUUCGGCCUCUUUGGCCAAAUUGCCAAAUGGGCAGAAUGACGUGGAGUGCGGGCCCAGACUCGCUUAUUGUGUGGUUACCACAUGGUCAUACUUUGAGCCUUGCUUGGAGAGGCAUAACAGACUAAUUUGCUUAAUGGGCAGCGAAGGGACCAAUUAUAACAAUGAACAAAUAAUAAUGCAACACUUGUUCGUAGUUCUUAAUCUCAAUAUUCAUGAACCAUGACAGUCAAUUACAAUCUAGUCUUCCUUCAAACAAAACUCGCCAAUACAAACGAGGUUAGGUGACAUUAGAGGUCAACAAUCAGUAACAUACACAAAAACAAGCAAGCUCUCGAGAGAGUGAGAGAGAGAGAGAGAGAGUGUGUGUGUGUGUGUGUGUGUGUGUGUGAGAGAGAGAGAGAGAGAGUCUUACGGUGUAGGGAACCAAUACAGAGGAGGGCCAUGAAUGGACUCAUCGUGGUUAUGGUAGACGGAGUAGUAGAUAAGCUGGUGCACGCCAUGUGGAUGCGAUGGUUUCAGCAAUUUCCGAGCCGUGACCUCUCGCCAUAACGCCUUCCGGUCAAAUCCAUCACAACCAUUAAUUGCAUCUUUGAGCUCCCUUUCAAAAUCUAUGGCCUCCUCAACUGCUACACCGGCUCUCACCAAGUCUUCCACUCCCACUUCACUUACGCUCUUCCCCAUUCUCAUUUCUCGCUCUGGCUCUGGCGCUCUGGCUCUGGUUGUAUGUUUACGUAUGUGACCGGACUCCGGACUGUUAGUUGAGAUACGUGGUGGACAAAUUCGCAACGUCAUACAGCGUGGCCCAACUGCUACUUAUGCUGUCCUUUUCGAGGGGCAGUUGGGGAAUGAAACAGACUUUUUCCUCUUAUUUCCCACUUUUAUUUUUUAAGGUCUCUUUGGAAGAGUCGAGUAAGUCAAGUAGGUAAGUUACAAAAUUCGUGACAUGUAGAUGUCAAUUUACCUAUUUUAAGUAAUAUUUUAAAAAGCAUCAUGUAUAAUUAAACAAUAAGAUCAAACGUCAAGUUUUUUCGGACCUAAAUAAAAUCUAGACAUCAAAUAACAUAAAGCUUAGGCGUCAAGGACAAACUUUAAACCUAGACGAGUUUUUCAAAAUAAUUAACUGUAAAAAUCCAGUUUAUAAAUGAAUUUAACAAAUAUAGAAUGCAUUGACCAUGUCAAAGCGUUUGGAACAUAUGGAUUACACAAAAUCGGUAGAACGUGGGUCUCCAAAACCCGAUGUCAUAGGUUCAAAUCUUACAAAGCGUGAUUUUUUCUUCGUAGAUUGAAUUAGAAUGAAAAAUCGCUAUUCGAAAUCUAAAACACUGAAUUUCUUAUCUCAUAUUUGCUUUUCGUGAAAAAUUUCCAAUUGAAGUGGAGGGUUUUUUUAAACAACAAGGGGCUGUGUCAACUAUACAAUCAAUCAAACAAUUAGACACUCCAUGUAUAUGUUUCAUUCGAUCACCAACCAAACUUUGUUACAACUCCAAAUUUGUUAUUAGAUUGUACCCUUAUGUAUUUGUACAACAGAUCGCGCUUCUUUUUCCUGUCAAUACAUCAAUCAAUUCAUGUGAUUUGCUCUCCUAAUAUAUUUUAAUAAGAAAUAUUAUUGUUAUUGAAAAAUGACAACCUGCAUUAACCAUCUACAUUAAUAAUAUGUAGUGAUAUAAUGUAUAAAAAAGUAUACAAUCAGCAGUAACAAUAUACAACAAGCUGUAGUAAGAAUAAAGCCAAAAAACACGAUGAAGAUGAAAAAACAUCAUCAAAUAUAAGUUAAAGAUUAAACCCAUCGCGUGGAUGAAGAUGCUUUGCGAUAACCUGAGAUAAUAGAAUCGUAGUAGAUUACAAGGCACGUAUUAACACUUUCCUUAAUUAAAACAAUAUUAGCCCCCAACUCUGAUGAUGCACACCACAAGCAAAGAUACCUCCAGAAUAUAAUUGAACCCAGUCAAGGUAUCAACAUCGUGCACUAACAAAGACAACCACAAACACUAACGAGAGAAAAAGCCAAUAUAGAGUCUUGCGUUCUAUAUUUUCGAAUUACAAAACAUGAACAAAGUCUGGAAAAAUAUGAAUGAUAGUAUGCAAGAAAAGUAUAACUUGAAGAAGGAAGAUGAAAGACAAUUAUAUUAUUCCAUAUAUUUCCAAGUACUUAGUCUAUGAAAUUAACAAUUUAAGCCACCGCUUGAUUCUCAUUUUCAGAAUAAUGAGAAUGAAAAAUAUAGUCGUUAUGAGACCCACACAAGAGAGAGGAACUCAAAUAUGGUGGUCCAAUAUGAUGGAUAACGAUCAUAUUUUUUAUUUUUUUGGCAAAAGAAUGGAAAACAAACGGAUCUUAAUUUAUAGAUUGUAAACAACUCUUCCAAAGAGUAAUAAUCCUUCCAAUCUAUCAUAAAGUUAGUUGCAAAAGCAAUCGUAUAUGGAAAGGGUGAAAAACUCGUCCAAAACAUGAAGAAGGAGCUUUUGGCAUCGCAAUGGGUGGCCACCCACAAGCAUAGCAGCCGCCCAAGCAGAUGCAAAUUCCCUACAUCCCUCCAGUCGUCCUCAUGCAUAGGGUGACCGUUGGGUGGCUCCAUCCUCCACUACUUCGAGUCUUCCCUCAGCAUUCUGUUGUCUCUUCCAAAGUCAUAAAAGUAUCUUUCAAUGUUCAAACAUGACAUUAUUUGAAAAUUCUUCAAUAUUCAACAUACAAUAUUAGUCAAUAUGGGAAUUCUUAAAACAGUAAACCUAAUUGUCUCAUGAAUACACGAGAAUCCGCCAUCUAAAGUGUACUGUGGUUACAAGCUUUAAUUAUAAAUACAAUUAUUGACUCAUUCAAUAACUUGGUGGCAUUUUUAUAUAAAAAAAAAAAAAAAGUAGCAUAAAAAUGGUAAUUUAUCUCAAAUUUCGCGUACAACCAUAACAAGCUAAGUUUCACCCCUAAUAAUCUCAACUAGCACAUAGUCCAACAGCAGCUAUAUUGGAAACUAGUGAUGCAAUUAUAUUUUACUGUGUAUCUGAAGCUCCAGCUUCAAUUGAUCCCUUAACACUCUCCGCAAUAGCUUAUUUGUUGCUGUUCGAGGAAACACUGGGACGAUCUUCACAAAGCUCACCUGAUUAAUUAACAAAUAAGAUAAAAGUAUAGAUAAAUAAAUCCCUCCCCUUUCCAACUGCUUGAACUUUUAGAUUAUGAGACUUGACUUGUUAUGAGAGUUGACAAAUGUCGGUAUUUAAGUCUCGACACUUUAUAAGAUUAUAUGUCGGGCCCAUGACAAAGUGAAUUAUAAGUACAUAAAUACCUUUCCCCUCUAACAUCUUAAGUUUAUGGUAACUGUCUCUACACUAUCUUUUUGUCUAUUCAAGCAUGUAGUCAGUCACCAAUAGCAGAGAACAAAAAGGAAAAUAAAAACAGUAGUAAAUGUUGUGGAAUCAAGUAUUCAAACCUUGAAUAAAGGGUUAAGCUUGGUCUGGAUGGAUCUUGAGAAUUUCAAAUUAAGCAUAUCUGCCUCGACUUCAAAUCCCGUCUUCAAUACUACAAAUAUAGCCAACUGUUCCGGACCACCAUUUGGGGGUGCAGUACUGACUGCAGCAGUUUCCAGGACACUUUCAUCAGCCCCAUCACAAACACGUUCAAU
rnacentral:lncRNA from 1 species